CAUUGCCACCCAACUUUCUAGUAAUCUUAGUGUUGUUCACUACAUAUUCUGUCAGUAAAUUUUCAUUGUGCCGGGCAAUAAAUAAAACAAAAUUUUCGGUUUAUGUCGCGUACUUACCUAUAUACUCUGUCACAUUACAUUAAAAUAUGGAAAGUGUCUUUCUUACCAGCGGUCAUCCAACAGUCCAUAAUCCAUUUCUGAUGACCUUAAACAUUUUCAAUCAAAUUCUGGGCGACAACGAACGAUUCAUUCUGGCUUCGAAUCAAUGCGAUGUAAAUUCCACAUUUUUCAAAGACGCUCAACAUCGUGUUCUGAUGGUGAUAGCGUACACUGUUGGAGAAACAAUAACGGUGGGCUGUCCAGAUAAUUAUUGGCGGACGUCGCACAGGUCUAGGUACCAUACAACCCAUACGACCACGAAGAUCCGCACGAAAGAUACAGUAUCAAUACACGACGCAUUUGGCCACUUGUUACUCACGGCAAGUGGGUAUCGUCGAUCAAUGAUGUCAAUAACGUCUGGAGAGCCGCUGAUGACUAUAUAUUGUAAUACACAGACUCUGGGCACACUUUGUGGAAGAUCAUUUUUCCUAAAUAGUCUGAUUGCGAAGGGCUUUCUGGGCGAAAUACUGUUUUUCAGUCAAAGGGGAAGUGAAGGUGGCAACACGUGUUGCACCUGCGGCUAUACCACGACAGCAACAGAGUUCACGUUCCUAUCGAAUGGGGUGCAGCUAGCACGUAUCGAAAGACACGCUGCUGAACACACGGCAAAUGAAUUUACGAACUAAAGUUGUUCUAAUAUUCGCCGCAUACUACUUGUAUCAUGAAUAUUUCGCCGAAAGUCGAUACGGAGCAAUUGGUUACCGGGGAGAGGAUAAACACCAAUGGACAAUCACAAUCACUCUUAUUGUUAUCGUCGUUAUUCUAUGUUUCCUUGUAAUAUUUCUUAUUUCAGAAUAUUAUUAAACUUUGUCAUUUCACAUUUAGUGUAUGAACACUUCAAAAUAUUGAAAUUAAGCAGAAUAAAUUACGCCAAAUAUUUGAGAGCUAAUUACCAAAAAUUA